AGAAGCAGGAGAGCCAAGUUUUGUUUUUGUUUUUUAAGGAUCAUGAAAACCAAGGGAAGAUGUUUAAAUUUAGGAUAUGCUGAAACUGUGAGAUUAGGGAAUCAAACCAAAAGAGUCCCUGAAGAUGCUGGUAGAGGAGAAGCCUUUCCCAGAAGAUAGAAUCUCUGUGGAAGCUUUGACCAUAUCCUGGCUGUCAGAGAACAAUGGCAAUAAGCAAUGAGUGGUAUAAGUGAGGAGUAUGGACUUGGGAUGAUGUAUAACACGGAGGUCAAAUGCACAGGUGUUGACAUCUAUUGGAUAAAGUCCCAGCUGGCAGUUUGACGUUGGACAAUUUAACCUCUAAAAAGACUCAACUUCCUUAAUUGUAAUAACAUAAUAAUAGUAUUUGUAGGGCUGUUGUAAAGCACAUAAAAGUAAGAACCUAAUACAUUAUAGCUAUUAUUUUUAUUUCUAUUUUAAUAGAUAUUAGGGAAAAAAUGUUAAGAAUAUAGAAAAUUCAUUCAUAACUAAAGAAGAGGAUUUAUUUCACAGGACACAGCAAAGAGGUUAAUAGAGUGUAAAAUACAAAUACAGAGGGAAAGAUCUAGGCUAAAUGUGGGGAAAGGCAGUGGCCAAAGAGUUGAUAGUCUGAUUAUCCAAAGCUAGAUCUCAGGGUGGGCUGGUCCUACCUAUUUCCCAGUUCUUACAUAAUUUCAUUAAUGUGUAUGCCUGGAAAAAGAUGACUAAAUAAAAUACCAAUAACUCUAUUUUUGGGUCAGUGCCAGUAGGGAGAGGCACAAUCAUUUGGGCAUAAUUUUAUCAGUGGGAGGUCUGGGAAUGAGUUUGGAUGCAGUCCUUUUCAGGUAUUGUGAAAUUUCUUAGUAAGGAGAAAAAAUUUAAAACAUAAACUAAUUCAUGAAAUCCUCUUAUUAACUGUUACUGUGAUAAAAAUCUAUGUUACAAAAUUAUACACAAGGUUAAAAUCAUAGACCAUUCAUUUGUGCUUAAAAAAUGUUUAAGAGCACAAAUCCAUUGAUUCCUUUGGAAAUGCAAAAUAAAAUUUAACCUUGACUUAAAAUUUAUUUCCAUUCCCUUCUACCAUGUUUCUUUCCAUCCACUACAAUUCAGUCUUGCUGGUUUAGUUAUGAGAGGAGGAGGGGUAACAGCAGGAUAGCAAGGCAGAUGCAGUGUGGUAUGAAUUGAAGGAUAAAGUUAUGUUUGAGAUAAUGCAAGAACAAUACGAGGACAGAGUUACUGAAACACAUUUGAAUCAAUGUAAAAAAUUAGCAUAUUAUUACUGGACCCAUUGAAUAGCUCAAGGAACCUAUUGAACUAGAGAAAUGCCACUUAAACAAGAACAUCUUGUUUUCUGGUAGAAAAGGGACAAAGAUUCAACACGGUAUGCCAAUCAGAGAAAAUGUGCAAUUUAUAUAGAUGAGAACUUGAU
rnacentral:lncRNA from 1 species